AGCCCCAGAGGUUCCUUGCCCCUCUCAUCUAAAUAUUGGUCUGAGUGGCUGAAAGGGAGGAACAGUAAAACUGAAAUAGACUUUGUGUUUUAGUGCUCUACAAGUUCAUUUCAAACAUGA
rnacentral:snoRNA from 1 species